GCCCGGGUAGUCCAAUCGGCAGAGACGCUUGUCUUAGAAGCAAGAGGUUGGUGGUUCGAAUCCACCGCCGGGCA
rnacentral:tRNA from 1 species